CCUACGGGAGGCAGCAGUGGGGAAUUGUUCGCAAUGGGCGCAAGCCUGACGACGCAACGCCGCGUGGAGGAUGAAGACCUUCGGGUCGUAAACUCCUUUCGAUCGAGACGAAUGUUUUCCGGGUGAACAAUCCGGAAAAGUGACGGUACCGAGAGAAGAAGCCCCGGCUAACUCUGUGCCAGCAGCCGCGGUAAUACAGGGGGGGUCAAGCGUUGUUCGGAAUUACUGGGCGUAAAGGGCUUGUAGGUGGCCAACUAAGUCAGACGUGAAAUCCCUCAGCUUAACUGGGGAACUGCGUCUGAUACUGGAUGGCUUGAGUUUGGGAGAGGGAUGCGGAAUUCCAGGUGUAGCGGUGAAAUGCGUAGAUAUCUGGAGGAACACCGGUGGCGAAGGCGGCAUCCUGGACCAACACUGACACUGAGGAGCGAAAGCCAGGGGAGCAAACGGGAUUAGAUACCCCGGGUAGUCCUGGCCCUAAACGAUGAAUGCUUGGUGUGGCGGGUAUCGAUCCCUGCCGUGCCGAAGCUAACGCAUUAAGCAUCGCCGUGGAGGUACGGUCGCGAGCGNGAACGACGAAGAAGUAGACGGCGUGAGACGUGCCGACGGACGACGACGAGGGAGGAGG
rnacentral:rRNA from 1 species